GGUCAAGCUAGAAAGAGCUAACGGUGGAUACCUAGGCA
rnacentral:rRNA from 1 species